AGGGACGCUUUCCCUUGGCACUGUGUUGAGUGCUCAUUUGCCGUCUUCACUGAACUGGAAGAUAGAGAUAGAAAGCAUCCAUUAUAAGUGGCCAUCCUGAUGGGUGUGAGGUGGUCCUUCGUGCUCAUUUUUAAAAGAUGCAGAGGCAGCCCCUGAACUGAAUUAUAUCUGAUCCGUCAUGCCACAGAAUCAGCUCUGCCAGCAGCAUUCAAGCAUCAGGAGACAGUGGGACAUUAGAGAUGCCACCAGAGCUGAUCCUGAAAGUCUAAGAGCAUUGCAUGAGCAGGUGGCUCCGACUCCCGUGCUCCUCUCUCUCAAGCCACAUAUACAGCUUCAUGGGGCAAUUAAUGCACCUCGUCACAGAAGGAGAAAAAAGGCCAGCCUGGUUUGUAGAUGGUUCUGCACAAUACACUUGCACCAGCCUGAAGUGCUCCGGCAUUGCAGCUCUGCCAGGAGCAGCAGGAAGGAAUGAGAGGAGGGCUGUCGUCCCAGUGGGCAGAACUCUGUGCAGUUUUCCUGGGAAUUUCACAUGCCUUGAAGGACAGAUGGCCACAUGUACAGAUCUAUGCCAAUUUAAGUUUGUUCAAAUGUCAGGAACUUGGAAGGAACAAAAUUGGAGACUGGUGAUGAGAACUUAGGAAAAUAUUUAUGGAUUGAUCUCUCAGGUUGAGCCCAGACUAUGAAAAUAUUUGUGUUCUAAGUAAAUCCUUACUGUAGAGCACCUGCUUCAGUGACACAGUAACAUCCUCAAUAAUUAUAUGGACAAGAUGAUCCAUUUUAUGGUUAUCAGUCACUUGAGGCUUUCCCAGCCACUUCAGAGCUUACUCAAUGAGCUCAUGAGUGAGUGGACAUAGCGAUAGGGAUACAGUUUAUAUAUGAACUCAGCAAUGUGGCCUCCCCUCAUCAAGUCUGAUUUAGCUACCACCAUUGCUUGGUGCCCAAUCCACCCACAACAGAGACCAAGGCAGAACCCCCACCUUCCCCCGAUCCUAUACAGCAUCCCUGGGGCACCAGCCAGCCACCUGAGGUAGGUUGUUUAUACUGAACCCCUUCCAGCACAGAGGGACAAAUAUUUAUCCUCAAUAUAAUAAACGCAUAUUAAAUAUGGAUUUGUCUUUCCUGCCCACAAGACUUCUGUCAGCAUCCCAUCAUUGGACUUACUUCAUGCUUAUUCACUCUCCCAGUAUCCCACAAAAUAUUUCUUGGCACCAAAAAAAGUUUUACAGAAAAAUAAAAGACAUAGGCAAAUGUCUACAGA